rnacentral:misc_RNA from 1 species
AAGUCGUAACAAGGUUUCCGUAGGUGAACCUGCGGAAGGAUCAUUAUCGAGUUUGAAAGAGGCUUCGUAGCUGGCCCUCCGGGGCAUGUGCUCGGCCUUGCUCAUCCAUCUACACCUGUGCACCUAUUGUGGGUAUAGAGCCAGAGGGGGGUUGGAUAACGACCUCCGGAAGGCGCAUAUACUCAUGUUUUACACACACUAUAUAAAGUUAAGAAUGUCUCCUUGCGAUAUAACGCAUAUAAAUACAACUUUCAACAACGGAUCUCUUGGCUCUC